GCCUGGGUGGCUCAGUCGGUUAAGCAUCUGACUUCAGCUCAGGUCAUGAUCUCACAGUUUGUGGGUUCGAGUUCCGCAUCAGGCU
rfam:Felis catus isolate Cinnamon breed Abyssinian chromosome C1, whole genome shotgun sequence.